ACGGAAGGCAGCAGUGAGGAAUAUUGGUCAAUGGGCGAGAGCCUGAACCAGCCAAGUCGCGUGAAGGAUGAAGGUUCUAUGGAUUGUAAACUUCUUUUGUCCGAGGGUAAAGUAGGCUACGUGUAGCUUUUUGCAAGUAUCGGACGAAUAAGCAUCGGCUAACUCCGUGCCAGCAGCCGCGGUAAUACGGAGGAUGCGAGCGUUAUCCGGAUUUAUUGGGUUUAAAGGGUGCGUAGGUGGUUUGUUAAGUUUGUGGUGAAAGCGUGCGGCUCAACCGUACCAAGCCAUGAAAACUGGCGAACUUGAGUGCAAACGAGGUAGGCGGAAUGUGAUGUGUAGCGGUGAAAUGCUUAGAUAUGUCACAGAACCCCGAUUGCGAAGGCAGCUUACCAGCAUGCAACUGACACUGAGGCACGAAAGCGUGGGUAUCAAACAGGAUUAGAUACCCUGGUA
rnacentral:rRNA from 1 species